CAAACAGCGAAUCUGAACCUACUGUAGCCAACAUACACAGCAAAGAUCUGAAUGGCUAGGGACCAAGAGAAUGUGCAGUUAAACUCAGUAGCCUCACUGCGAAUAGCCAAUGACAUCAUAGGUCAAAAGAUCACUCACACUACUAUAGCAUCGAGAAGACCACUGACGAGUGAGUUGACAUCCAUGUCGUUUCUCAUAUUGGUCACGCUCAGUGUAAGUUGUUCUCUAACAAUCAUCUGUUCUCUCAUCCUAAUAUCUUUACACUACAGAUCCAAGACUCAUUUGCCCACA
rnacentral:lncRNA from 1 species